UACGUAGGGUGCGAGCGUUGCCCGGAUUUAUUGGGCGUAAAGGGCGCGCAGGCGGCCACGCACGUCCGUUGUGAAAUCGCUCGGCUCAACUGGGCGGGGUCAGCGGAUACGGCGCGGCUGGAGCAAGCUAGGGGGCAAUGGAAUUCCCGGUGUAGUGGUGGAAUGCGUAGAGUAUCGGGAGGAACACCAGUGGCGAAGGCGGUUGCCUGGAGCUUUGCUGACGCUGAGGCUGCGAAAGCGUGGGGAGCGAGCCGGAU
rnacentral:rRNA from 1 species